GGUCCUGUGGCCCAAUGGAUAAGGCGCCUGACUACGAAUCAGGAGAUUCUAGGUUCGAGUCCUGGCAGGAUCG
rfam:Ciona savignyi cont_17357, whole genome shotgun sequence.